UUUACCACUGACUACAAAUCUAGUGUUUAUGGUUUUGUUUAUGGGAGGGUGGUUUUACUGUAAAUACGUCUGGUGUUUAAAAUAUCUUCACACCUUGUAUUACAUGCAGAUAAACUGCGAGACAUUAGGAAGCCAAUGAAGAUAAUUUCUGAAGACAAAGAGAACUGAAAGAGUAACUCUGGGAUUGUGAGAGGUAACCAGGCAGGAGACUGGCUAGGAGGAUUUCUCAGUACUUUUCCAAACAAGAGGAAGGUGGAAAAAUGCUCCUGCUUCUAACUGUGGUCCA